UGAGGAAUAUNGNNNANGGUCGGAAGACUGAUCCAGCCAUGCCGCGUGCAGGAUGAAGGUCCUAUGGAUUGUAAACUGCUUUUGUAAGGGAAGAAUAAGGAGUACGUGUACUUUGAUGACGGUACCUUACGAAUAAGCAUCGGCUAACUCCGUGCCAGCAGCCGCGGUAAUACGGAGGAUGCGAGCGUUAUCCGGAAUCAUUGGGUUUAAAGGGUCCGUAGGCGGGCUGAUAAGUCAGAGGUGAAAGCGCUUAGCUCAACUAAGCAACUGCCUUUGAAACUGUCAGUCUUGAAUGAUUGUGAAGUAGUUGGAAUGUGUAGUGUAGCGGUGAAAUGCUUAGAUAUUACACAGAACACCGAUAGCGAAGGCAUAUUACUAACAAUUUAUUGACGCUGAUGGACGAAAGCGUGGGGAGCGAACAGGAUUAGAUACCCUGGUAGUCCACGCUGUAAACGAUGGAUACUAGCUGUUUGGAGCAAUCUGAGUGGCUAAGCGAAAGUGAUAAGUAUCCCACCUGGGGAGUACGCACGCAAGUGU
rnacentral:rRNA from 1 species